CCCUGCCCUGUGCCCACCUGUGCCCACCCUGUGCUCCGAGACCACCAGUGCUGCCCCGGCUGUGACGAGAUAACGAGCUCGUCAGCGCCGGUGAUGCUGUGGACGUCUGUCACCGAGGACUGGAUCAGCGCCGCUCCUCCGCUGCACAGCGUCACACCUGGUGAUGUUUUCUCGCGGGACGAUCCGAGUCAGACGGAG